UGCUUUCGUGUCUAAUGCAUCACAG
rnacentral:misc_RNA from 1 species